rnacentral:rRNA from 1 species
CUACGGGACGCAGCAGUGGGGAAUAUUGGACAAUGGGGGAAACCCUGAUCCAGCAAUGCCGCGUGUGUGAAGAAGGCCUGCGGGUUGUAAAGCACUUUCGGUUGGGAGGACUGCUUCUAGCACUAAUAUUGUUGGAAGUUGACGUUACCUUCAGAAGAAGCACCGGCUAGCUCCGUGCCAGCAGGCCGCGGUAAUACGGAGGGUGCAAGCGUUAAUCGGAAUUACUGGGCGUAAAGCGCGCGUAGGCGGCUAGAUCAGUCGGGUGUGAAAGCCCCGGGCUUAACCUGGGAACUGCAUCCGAUACUGGCUAGCUUGAGUACAGGAGAGGAGAGUGGAAUUCCACAUGUAGCGGUGAAAUGCGUAGAUAUGUGGAGGAACACCAAUGGCGAAGGCAGCUCUCUGGCCUGAUACUGACGCUGAGGUGCGAAAGCGUGGGGAGCAAACAGGAUUAGAUACCCUAGUAGUC